rnacentral:tRNA from 1 species
AGGGGUAUAGCUCAGUGAAGAAGCACUUUCCUGACAGGAAAAUGGUGUUGGGUUCAAUUCCCAGCAUCCCCU